AUUGAACGCUGGCGGCAGGCCUAACACAUGCAAGUCGAGCGGCAGCACGGGUACUUGUACCUGGUGGCGAGCGGCGGACGGGUGAGUAAUGCCUAGGAAUCUGCCUGGUAGUGGGGGAUAACGUCCGGAAACGGGCGCUAAUACCGCAUACGUCCUACGGGAGAAAGUGGGGGAUCUUCGGACCUCACGCUAUUAGAUGAGCCUAGGUCGGAUUAGCUAGUUGGUGAGGUAAUGGCUCACCAAGGCGACGAUCCGUAACUGGUCUGAGAGGAGGAUCAGUAACACCGGAACUGAGACACGGUCCAGACUCCCACGGGAGGCAGCAGUGGGGAAUAUUGGACAAUGGGCGAAAGCCUGAUCCAGCCAUGCCGCGUGUGUGAAGAAGGUCUUCGGAUUGUAAAGCACUUUAAGUUGGGAGGAAGGGCAGUUACCUAAUACGUGAUUGUUUUGACGUUACCGACAGAAUAAGCACCGGCUAACUCUGUGCCAGCAGCCGCAGUAA
rnacentral:rRNA from 1 species